AUUGAACGCUGGCGGCAUGCCUUACACGUGCAAGUCGAACGGUAACAGGUCUUCGGAUGCUGACGAGUGGCGAACGGGUGAGUAAUACAUCGGAACGUGCCUAGUAGUGGGGGAUAACUACUCGAAAGAGUGGCUAAUACCGCAUGAGAUCUACGGAUGAAAGCAGGGGAUCGCAAGACCUUGUGCUACUAGAGCGGCCGAUGGCAGAUUAGGUAGUUGGUGGGAUAAAAGCUUACCAAGCCGACGAUCUGUAGCUGGACUGAGAGGACGAUCAGCCACACUGGGACUGGGACACGGCCCAGACUCCUACGGGAGGCAGCAGUGGGGAAUUUUGGACAAUGGGCGCAAGCCUGAUCCAGCAAUGCCGCGUGCAGGAUGAAGGCCUUCGGGUUGUAAACUGCUUUUGUACGGAACGAAAAGCCCUGGGUUAAUACCCUGGGGUCAUGACGGUACCGUAAGAAUAAGCACCGGCUAACUACGUGCCAGCCGCCGCCGUAAGAC
rnacentral:rRNA from 1 species